CGCUUCAAGAUCAUCUACUUCAACCGACGAGACCCUCUUACCGAAAUUACAGGUAGAUUCUCCAUUCCAUAUGCGCCGACACAGCUUGCCUGUCCAAUUUUCAACGUGAGAUAUUCUAGCAAUCUUCUUUGGAUCCGCAUUGAGCUGCAAAGCAUUCAUUAACGAGAAUUCAGCUCUUGACAAACGGUCAGGACCAUCAGACAGUAUCUGGAAUCAAGAGGACAAUGGCCUUCAUGAUGCUCGCUUACCCGGUACUUGAUCAAUCACACUAUAUGAGUCUGCCUUCGCCAACACCGAUGUCUGAUGGACCAUGAAGGAAUCAUCCGCACACAUGUAAGUGACGUACCAAGUCGCCACACACGUAAUUCACAGUAGUUACAGAGGAUAUAUCAGU
rnacentral:lncRNA from 1 species